AUUGAACGCUGGCGGCAUGCUUUACACAUGCAAGUCGAACGGUAACAGGCCGCAAGGUGCUGACGAGUGGCGAACGGGUGAGUAAUGCAUCGGAACGUGCCCAGUCGUGGGGGAUAACGCAGCGAAAGCUGUGCUAAUACCGCAUACGAUCUAUGGAUGAAAGCGGGGGACCGUAAGGCCUCGCGCGAUUGGAGCGGCCGAUGUCAGAUUAGGUAGUUGGUGGGGUAAAGGCUAACCAAGCCAACGAUCUGUAGCUGGUCUGAGAGGACGACCAGUCACACUGGGACUGAGACACGGCCCAGACUCCUACGGGAGGCAGCAGUGGGGAAUUUUGGACAAUGGGCGCAAGCCUGAUCCAGCAAUGCCGCGUGCAGGAAGAAGGCCUUCGGGUUGUAAACUGCUUUUGUACGGAACGAAACGGUCUGGGUUAAUACCCUGGGCUAAUGACGGUACCGUAAGAAUAAGCACCGGCUAACUACGUGCCAGCAGCCGCCGUAACAC
rnacentral:rRNA from 1 species